rnacentral:rRNA from 1 species
UUCCGGAGACGGGAAAGUUUUUUCGCUAUGGGAUGAGGCUGCGGCCUAUCAGCUAGUUGGUGGGGUAAAGGCCUACCAAGGCUACGACGGAUAGCUGGUCUGAGAGGAUGAUCAGCCACACUGGAACUGAGACACGGUCCAGACUCCUACGGGAGGCAGCAGUGAGGAAUAUUGGUCAAUGGGCGAGAGCCUGAACCAGCCAUGCCGCGUGCAGGAAUGAAGGCCCUAUGGGUUGUAAACUGCUUUUGCCCGGGGAUAAACCCUUGUUCGCGAACGAGGUUGAAGGUACCGGGCGAAUAAGCAUCGGCUAACUCCGUGCCAGCAGCCGCGGUAAUACGGAGGAUGCGAGCGUUAUCCGGAUUUAUUGGGUUUAAAGGGUGCGCAGGCGGGUCGAUAAGUCAGUGGUGAAAUCUCCCGGCUCAACCGGGAAACUGCCAUUGAUACUGUCGGUCUAGAGUACAGUUGGGGUAGGCGGAAUGUAGCAUGUAGCGGUGAAAUGCUUAGAGAUGCUACAGAACACCGAUCGCGAGGGCAGCUUACCAAGCUGAAACUGACGCUCAUGCACGAAAGCGUGGGGAUCAAACAGGAUUAGAUACCCUGGUAGUCCACGCUGUAAACGAUGAUCACUAGCUGUUGGCGAUACACAGUCAGUGGCUAAGCGAAAGUGAUAAGUGAUCCACCUGGGGAGUACGAUCGCAAGGUUGAAACUCAAAGGAAUUGACGGGGGCCCGCACAAGCGGAGGAGCAUGUGGUUUAACUCGAUGAUACGCGAGGAACCUUACCUGGGCUUAAAUGUAGGUUGCAUGCGGUGGAAACACUGCUUCCCUUCGGGGCUACUUACAAGGUGCUGCAUGGUUGUCGUCAGCUCGUGCCGUGAGGUGUCGGGUUAAGUCCCAUAACGAGCGCAACCCUUACCCUUAGUUGCCAACGCGUAAAGGCGGGGACUCUAGGGGGACUGCCGGCGCAAGCCGAGAGGAAGGUGGGGAUGACGUCAAAUCAGCACGGCCCUUACGUCCAGGGCUACACACGUGCUACAAUGGCCGGUACAGAGGGCAGCCACCCCGCGAGGGGGAGCGAAUCUCCAAAGCCGGUCUCAGUUCGGAUCGGAGUCUGCAACCCGACUCCGUGAAGUUGGAUUCGCUAGUAAUCGCGCAUCAGCCAUGGCGCGGUGAAUACGUUCCCGGGCCUUGU